GGGCUGGUAGCUCAGUUGGUAGAUCGCUUCGCUUGCACCGAAGAGGCCACGGGUUCAAAUCCCGUCCAGUCCA
rnacentral:tRNA from 1 species